UGACUUUAAUUCUUCAGGAUAAAUACUGAGGAGUGGUAUAGCUGGGUCAUAUGGUGGUUCCAUGCCCACUCUUUUGUGGAACCUCCAUGCUGAUUUCCACGGUGGUUGUACUCUAUUUACAUUUCCAUAAACAGUAUAAAAGUUUUUUUCCACAUCCUCUCCAGCAUUUAUUAUUGUUUGUACAAGUUGUCUUUUUUAAAAAUUUUGACGUAGAGAUGGGGACCCUGCUGUAUCUGGAUGGAAACUGCCACGGGCACGACACCCACACUCAUUCUCUGGUAAAUGUCUAGCAGAUCUUUUUGGGAAUUUCAUCUCAGAGUGACAAGAAUGUGACCCUUGUGUCAUCUUAAGGAUGAGAAAACAUAGGUCCCCAAGGACUACAAAAUUCUGAUAAGGCCUGAAGAUCCCUUACCUACUGAAUUGAUGCUGAUGGUAUCUUUGAAGAGAAGAAGGCACCUUCUAACAAGGAGGCAGCUGAGCACAGGGAGUAGUGACAGCACCUAUUUGAUCCUGGGAGGAAACUGAAGGCUUCUUGUAAUGGUUCAUGUGGACAAGAGGGGAACGGCUUCCACAGCAGAGGGACAUAACCUUAGAAUCCACUCACCUCAAGGAAGUGAUCUUAGCCACAUACUUGGUGUUUAAUUAAACAGAAGGGGGGAGAUGCUGAGAGCCAUAGCCGAGUCCGAAUGACGCAUGGCAUUUUUGCCAGAAUGGAGUGGUUGAGAGGUGAUGCCAGCAAGCCAUUGAGAUGAUAAUGGUUAUGUUAAGCUGUAUAUAUUAGACCCCUGCUGUCCGCCUGGGCUUGCUACUUUAGAGUUCUCGCAGGAAUUCCCGGAGAGUUCCCAUUGGUUGGGGAAAUGCAGGGAGAGGGAUUUCCGGUUGGUGUGUGGUGUGUCCCGAGAGAAGGCUGCCUGCGUGGUUCGCGGGAGUGCGGAGAAUAAAGGAGUUCCUGUUUUGAACCUACAAGGCUGUGUGGCGGCUCGGUUAAUUUGUGCCCAGCCAGACUGCGGCAAUUGGAGAAGCUAAAAGAAAACAUUGGUAUCAUCUUAUGGGAUGGUGAAUCCUUCAGUUCUAACCUACAGUUACAGGAAAAUCAUAAAUACUUUGCCACACGUCACUGCUGCAAAUCACAGACGUGGGAUUCCUCUUCCUGUGUUUAUCUAUGUAUUGUGUUGCUCCUGGAGGAUUGCCCGGAAUUAACUCUUCAAUAACCAGACAGGACCUUUCAGCCUCUGCUUCAGGAUUGAAAUCCGGUGAACAUCUUCAACUCUUCUCUGGAUCUGAGAGUUCACAUAAGAGAAAACAGAGUUUAUGUUCCAGGCAUACAAACUAUGGAACACCAAGUCCAUUUCCUACCCUGCUCAUCCAGCAAGGGAAAUAGGUGAGCACUGCAGUCCCUCUACUGCUAUCUUCACUCUGGGAGAAGCUGGUCCCUUGUUGAGGACCCAGGGCGAGGCACAUGAGGUGAGGAGCUGAGGCAUCCAGCCAAAACCUGGAAUGGAAAGGCGGCUUGUCGACAACCAUGAGCAAGGAGACCGAUCCUCUUGCAGCCCUGACCCACCGCUGACAACAACUGCAUGAGAGACCCUGAGCCAGAACCUCAGAGAAGCAUUGGUCUCACAUCCUAGACCUGAGAAUAAGGACCAGACAUGCUCUCUGCUCUGCCUGCCAUCACUAGGCACGGUGCAAAGUGCUUGACAGAUAUCUAAUGUAUUUCUGCUAAUAGUCAUGCUGAGGACACUAUUGUCUCCAUUUUCUUAAAGUAAAUAUAUUUAUUUUUUAGUCAUG